rnacentral:rRNA from 1 species
UGCGUGACCAACCUCGCCCCAUGCUCCAGAAUAGCUCUUGGAAACGGGUGGUAAUGCUGGAUGCUCCAACUUGACGCAUGUCUUGUUGGGAAAGUGUUUAGUGGCAUGGGAUGGGGUCGCGUCCUAUCAGCUUGUAGGCGGGGUAAUGGCCCACCUAGGCUUCGACGGGUAGCCGGCCUGAGAGGGCGGACGGCCACAUUGGGACUGAGAUACGGCCCAGACUCCUACGGGAGGCAGCAGGA